UACGAAGGGGGCUAGCGUUGUUCGGAAUUACUGGGCGUAAAGCGCACGUAGGCGGAUAUUUAAGUCAGGGGUGAAAUCCCAGAGCUCAACUCUGGAACUGCCUUUGAUACUGGGUAUCUUGAGUAUGGAAGAGGUAAGUGGAAUUCCGAGCGUAGAGGUGAAAUUCGUAGAUAUUCGGAGGAACACCAGUGGCGAAGGCGGCUUACUGGUCCAUUACUGACGCUGAGGUGCGAAAGCGUGGGGAGCAAACAGG
rnacentral:rRNA from 1 species